rnacentral:rRNA from 1 species
CAUAAUCACUUGUUCCUUAAAUAGGGACUUGUAUGAAUGGCUCCACGAGGGUUUAGCUGUCUCUUACUUUCAACCAGUGAAAUUGACCUACCCGUGAAGAGGCGGGCAUAACAUAGCAAGACGAGAAGACCCUAUGGAGCUUUAAUUCAUUAAUGCAAACAAUACUUAACAAACCCACAGGUCCUAAACUAUUAAACCUGCAUUAAAAAUUUCGGUUGGGGCGACCUCGGAGCACAACCCAACCUCCGAGCAACACAUGCUAAGACCUCACCAGUCAAAGCGAAUUAUUACAUCCAAUUGAUCCAAUUACUUGACCAACGGAACAAGUUACCCUAGGGAUAACAGCGCAAUCCUAUUCCAGAGUCCAUAUCAACAAUAGGGUUU